rnacentral:lncRNA from 1 species
CUUAAACAUGCAACAACAAGAUAAUACAAUUUAAUCCGAUCAGACCCAGUUCUCCGCUAGGAGUGAGCUUCCUAAUGUAAUCGCCUUUACAAUCAAAUCACAUUCAUUCUCUUCUCUUUUUUUUUUUUUUUUUGGUAACUCGUUAUUUUUGCUCUUGACAGAUAAGCCAUAAUUCACGAGAUUACAACAUUUGGAGGUGAUCCAAAGUGUUCUUGCGUGGUUUCCCUUGCUCAUGACAAAACAUCAGCGGAGCAGAGACCAAGAGCUAUCAAGAAC